CCUUGGGUCCGGCAUAACUCCGGGAAACUGGAGAUAAUUCCGGAUAACGCACAUAUGCUGGAAUGCUUUAUGCGUAAAAUGGAUUCGUCUGCCCAAGGAUGGGUCUGCGGCCUAUCAGGUAGUAGUGGGUGUAAUGUACCUACUAGCCUACGACGGGUACGGGUUGUGAGAGCAAGAGCCCGGAGAUGGAUUCUGAGACAUGAAUCCAGGCCCUACGGGGCGCAGCAGGCGCGAAAACUUUACAAUGCGGGAAACCGUGAUAAGGGGACACCGAGUGCCAGCAUCAUAUGCUGGCUGUCCAGGUGUGUAAAAUACACCUGUUAGCAAGGGCCGGGCAAGACCGGUGCCAGCCGCCGCGGUAACACCGGCGGCCCGAGUGGUGAUCGUGAUUAUUGGGUCUAAAGGGUCCGUAGCCGGUUUGGUCAGUCCUCCGGGAAAUCUGAUAGCUCAACUAUUAGGCUUUCGGAGGAUACUGCCAGACUUGGAACCGGGAGAGGUAAGAGGUACUACAGGGGUAGGAGUGAAAUCUUGUAAUCCCUGUGGGACCACCUGUGGCGAAGGCGUCUUACCAGAACGGGUUCGACGGUGAGGGACGAAAGCUGGGGGCACGAACCGGAUUAGAUACCCGGGUAGUCCCAGCCGUAAACGAUGCUCGCUAGGUGUCAGGCAUGGCGCGACCGUGUCUGGUGCCGCAGGGAAGCCGUGAAGCGAGCCACCUGGGAAGUACGGCCGCAAGGCUGAAACUUA
rnacentral:rRNA from 1 species